rnacentral:rRNA from 1 species
AUUUCCGCGGCUGCUGGAGGUAUCAGAAGUGCGAAUGCUGACAUAAGUAACGAUAAAGCGGGUGAAAAGCCCGCUCGCCGGAAGACCAAGGGUUCCUGUCCAACGUUAAUCGGGGCAGGGUGAGUCGACCCCUAAGGCGAGGCCGAAAGGCGUAGUCGAUGGGAAACAGGUUAAUAUUCCUGUACUUGGUGUUACUGCGAAGGGGGGACGGAGAAGGCUAUGUUGGCCGGGCGACGGUUGUCCCGGUUUAAGCGUGUAGGCUGGUUUUCCAGGCAAAUCCGGAAAAUCAAGGCUGAGGCGUGAUGACGAGGCACUACGGUGCUGAAGCAACAAAUGCCCUGCUUCCAGGAAAAGCCUCUAAGCAUCAGGUAACAUCAAAUCGUACCCCAAACCGACACAGGUGGUCAGGUAGAGAAUACCAAGGCGCUUGAGAGAACUCGGGUGAAGGAACUAGGCAAAAUGGUGCCGUAACUUCGGGAGAAGGCACGCUGAUAUGUAGGUGAGGUCCCUCGCGGAUGGAGCUGAAAUCAGUCGAAGAUACCAGCAGCCGCGGUAAU